rnacentral:rRNA from 1 species
GACGAACGCUGGCGGCGUGCUUAACACAUGCAAGUCGAACGGAAAGGCCCUGCUUUUGUGGGGUGCUCGAGUGGCGAACGGGUGAGUAACACGUGAGUAACCUGCCCUUGACUUUGGGAUAACUUCAGGAAACUGGGGCUAAUACCGGAUAGGAGCUCCUGCUGCAUGGUGGGGGUUGGAAAGUUUCGGCGGUUGGGGAUGGACUCGCGGCUUAUCAGCUUGUUGGUGGGGUAGUGGCUUACCAAGGCUUUGACGGGUAGCCGGCCUGGGAGGGUGACCGGCGACAUUGGGACUGAGAUACGGACCAGACUCCUACGGGAGGCAGCAGUGGGGAAUAUUGCACAAUGGGCGGAAGCCUGAUGCAGCAACGCCGCGUGCGGGAUGACGGCCUUCGGGUUGUAAACCGCUUUCGCCUGUGACGAAGCGUGAGUGACGGUAAUGGGUAAAGAAGCACCGGCUAACUACGUG